GCCUGGGUGGCUCAGUCGGUUGAGCGUUCGGCUUCGGCUCAGGUCAUGAUCUCCUGGCUCAUGGGUUCAAGUCCCGUGUCGGGCU
rnacentral:tRNA from 1 species